rnacentral:rRNA from 1 species
GACGAACGCUGGCGGCGUGCUUAACACAUGCAAGUCGAACGGAAAGGCCCUGCUUUUGUGGGGUGCUCGAGUGGCGAACGGGUGAGUAACACGUGAGUAACCUGCCCUUGACUUUGGGAUAACUUCAGGAAACUGGGGCUAAUACCGGAUAGGAGCUCCUGCUGCAUGGUGGGGGUUGGAAAGUUUCGGCGGUUGGGGAUGGACUCGCGGCUUAUCAGCUUGUUGGUGGGGUAGUGGCUUACCAAGGCUUCGACGGGUAGCCGGCCUGAGAGGGUGACCGGCCACAUUGGGACUGAGAUACGGCCCAGACUCCUACGGGAGGCAGCAGUGGGGAAUAUUGCACAAUGGGCGGAAGCCUGAUGCUGCAACGCCUCGUGCGGGAUGACGGCCUUCGGGUUGUAAACCGCUUUCGCCUGCGACGAAGCGUGAGUGACGGUAAUGUGUAAAGGAGCACCGGCUAACUACGUG